GCGUGUAGAACAUAUCCAGAACAAAACCUGCAAGUGGAGGCGAGUCGACGCUAGACUCAGACUGAGUGAUCUUCAACACAGCUUCUUUGACAUUGGGUUUAUGUCUCUUAAAGAAAGAAGCGAAAUUGGAUAAUUCAGACUCGUCUUUUGGCAAGUCAAUAAAUCGAAGACGAUUAGAUAAAGAGGAGGAGGAAUCUUGCACUGAUUCAAUGUAGUUCUGAAUCUUGGAAUUCAUGAGAGGAAGCUCAAGGAUAAGGACUGUGAUGGAGAGGCGGUGAUCGCGGGAGAAGCUUUGCUACCUCCACAGCAGAUACAAGGUGGCCCAUAAAAGGGAAGGGGACGAACACAAGCUGUGCUUUGUCCAUUUUCCUAAUGAAAUAGUAUAUAUUCUUAAUUUUGCUGCUAAGCUCGCGGUAUUUGCAGAGCUACCUGUGGGUGCCUGGGAGGCUGUAAUGAAAGAGCAGCUUGG
rnacentral:misc_RNA from 1 species